UACGUAGGGUGCAAGCGUUGUCCGGAAUUAUUGGGCGUAAAGGGCUCGUAGGCGGUUUGUCGCGUCGGGAGUGAAAACACCGGGCUUAACUCGGUGCUGGCUUUCGAUACGGGCAGACUAGAGGUAUGCAGGGGAGAACGGAAUUCCUGGUGGUAGCGGUGAAAUGCGCAGAUAUCAGGAGGAACACCGGUGGCGAAGGCGGUUCUCUGGGCAUGUCCUGACGCUGAGGAGCGAAGUGUGGGGAGCGAACAGG
rnacentral:rRNA from 1 species